CGACGAUCGUUCGAUCGCCUCCCUGUCCAGGGACGCCGAGUCGAAGCGUGCGCCCGAGCGGAUCUGCGCCCGGAAAAAACACCGUAGCCAUAGCCUCAUUGAUAAGGACAACCUGCGCCGUGGCCGCGGCGUCCGAUUCAUUGAGGAAGCGCCCGCGCCGCAACGAAAUCCGCAUGGCACGAUGGUAGUCGGGCGUCACGUGACUCAGAAGAACCGUACGUCGAUCGUCCGGACGACCCGGCACGGACAUCCGGGUCGAAGAGAUUCCGCCAAAGAGCGGCAUAUUGCCGGACAUCGCCGCCGCAUGCUCCACU
rnacentral:misc_RNA from 1 species